GCAGCGCCGAUUUCUUCCAUUCAAAAUGUCCACAGUUCUGGACGUCCGAAUCUUAAGAACAGUUCUGGUGUUAAUGACAAUAUCCAUAGUUUUUAUUAACUGCCAGAGAAGUUAUUUUGAUGAAAUUAAAGAUGCAAUGCACAGCCUUAAGAGUUACUUGCAUACGGGACUUGACGGACUUGCUAAACUGGCAAAGACGAUAGAAGUAGUAGAACAGUUUGUUGAUGCAACCAUUGAUGAAGAUUGCGAGCCUUUCAUGUGUCCUAAAGGAUUUGUAAGGGAAGUGAAUCCACUACAUAAACCUGAAAGUAAUGGCUGUGGUUCAUUUGGAUACAGGUGGAAUGAAGAAAAAUUGCCAUUAAAAGAACUAGAGGAAUGUUGUCACACUCAUGAUUUUUGCUAUGAUGACUGUGGGGCUGAUAAAGAUUUAUGUGAUUUGCAUUUCAAAAAAUGUCUUUACAAGGUAUGCUCAAGUCGCGAAGAAGAUCUUUCAAUGUUAUUCAUGAAAGCCUGUAAAGGGACUGCAAAGCUAAUGUACACUGGGACUUUAGCUUUAGGGUGCAAGGCUUAUCAAGAUGCACAGAGUAAAGCCUGCCAUUGUUAUAGACGAGAUGAACUUUAAAAUGCAGUUUCCUAGUUGCACCAAAGAGGUCGCGCGCAUAAAAGUAGGAGGGAGUGAAUAGGAAUAUGCAAAGCUUAGUCAUUGGAAGGUCCUGAAGGAUUACCAUCGAAACGGAAAGUUUCGUGUGGAAACUUCGAGACCAAAGUCAGUUCCUUACAUUUGCCCGGCGUGUCUGUUCAGCGCAAGGCUGUCGUUUGCUGUAUCCUAUG